AGUCCACUGCGGUGUGGAAGACUAGUGAUUUUGUUGUUUUUUUAUGAUGGAAGGAGACAACAAGUCAUAGUCUGCCUCACGGCUCUGAGAUG
rnacentral:pre_miRNA from 1 species